ACAGAAAGGAAUUACAAGAAGUACAGUACCAUUUUGUGUGCUGAUGGGGUGAAAUGUGGAAAACCGAUCUAACUGGAAUUUCUCCUUUGAAAGGAAAAAAACACAAUUGUUGCAUCUGAAGAAACACCUACUAUUUCCUCAACUCCAUGACAGACACCAAGGGGCCGAUUCCCUAAAGGACAUUAACGCAUAACGCAUAGUUUUAUGCAUUAAAAAGUGUUCUUUAAUUAA